CCUACGGGGGGCAGCAGUGAGGAAUAUUGGUCAAUGGGCGCGAGCCUGAACCAGCCAAGUAGCGUGAAGGAUGACUGCCCUACGGGUUGUAAACUUCUUUUAUAAAGGAAUAAAGUGGGGCACGUGUGCCCUUUUGUAUGUACUUUAUGAAUAAGGAUCGGCUAACUCCGUGCCAGCAGCCGCGGUAAUACGGAGGAUCCGAGCGUUUUCCGGAUUUCUUUGGUUUAAAGGGAGCGUAGGUGGGUUGUUAAGUCAGGUGGGAAAGUUUCCGGCUCAAACGGAGAAUUGAAGUUGAUACUGGUGGCCUUGAGUGCAGUUGAGGUAGGCGGAAUGCGUGGUGUAGCGGUGAAAUGCUUAGAUAUCACGAAGAACUCCGAUUGCGAAGGCAGCUUACUAAACUGCCACUGACGUUGAGGCUCGAAAGUGUGGGUAUCAAACAGGAUUAGAUACCCUAGUAGUC
rnacentral:rRNA from 1 species